rnacentral:rRNA from 1 species
UACGUAGGGGGCAAGCGUUGUCCGGAAUCAUUGGGCGUAAAGAGCGUGUAGGCGGCUCGAUAAGUCCGCUGUGAAAUCUCGAGGCUCAACUUCGAGCUGUCGGUGGAAACUGUCUGGCUAGAGUCCGGAAGAGGAGAAUGGAAUUCCUGGUGUAGCGGUGAAAUGCGCAGAUAUCAGGAGGAACACCGAUGGCGAAGGCAGGUCACUGGGCCGCAACUGACGCUGAGGAGCGAAAGCAUGGGGAGCGAACAGG